rnacentral:ncRNA from 1 species
UCGGCUCCGGUUCACGUUCCCGCGAUUCCCGCGCGAGCGACCCGGCGGCC